rnacentral:rRNA from 1 species
UACGGAGGGUGCUAGCGUUGUUCGGAAUCACUGGGCGUAAAGGGCGUGUAGGCGGCCUGCUAAGUCUGAUGUGAAAUCCCCUCGCUCAACGAGGGAACUGCGUCGGAUACUGGCAGACUCGAGUACCGGAGAGGAAGGUGGAAUUCCCGGUGUAGCGGUGAAAUGCGUAGAUAUCGGCAGGAACACCCAGGGGGAAACCAGUCGACUGGGCAGCACCUGACGCUGAGGUGCGAGAGCGUGGGGAGCGAACCGG